rnacentral:tRNA from 4 species
GCACCCGUAGCUCAGCUGGAUAGAGUAGUUGGCUUCGAACCAAUUGGUCGGGGGUUCGAAUCCCUCCGGGUGCACCA